CAUUGCUAGAUGGUUAUAUCGAUUGGUAUAGAAAGUUGUUCCUAUGCUACCGACUUAGGUUCGAAACUAUAAGGUCACACGCAUUAGAAGAUUUAGUCAGAUCUGAUGGCUGAAGAGUCUAAUUGGAUUGUGACUUUGGUGAAGAGUCCUACUUGGACUAGGACUUUGUGGGAGAGUCUCAUUGGGACUGAAACUCUACCAUUUAUAAAAAAUUAAUUAGUAAUUAGAUUACUAAUUGACUCAAUUUUAUUGAGUAAAGAGUUUUGGAAUAAGUCUAAUUGAAUUAGAUUCAGUUCGACUCAGAUUGGGAUUGAUAUGAUUCAACCCAAUUACAAAAAAAAUUUGAUCCUGAUUCGAUCAGGGUUUGAACUCGGCUAAUUCCUAAUUGGGUUAGAAAUUUGAUAAGAUAUUUAGAUUUUUAAUUGGAUUAGAU
rnacentral:lncRNA from 1 species